AUUGAACGCUGGCGGCAUGCUUUACACAUGCAAGUCGAACGGUAACAGGCCUUCGGGUGCUGACGAGUGGCGAACGGGUGAGUAAUGCAUCGGAACGUACCCAGAGGUGGGGGAUAACGCAGCGAAAGCUGUGCUAAUACCGCAUGUGAUCUGAGGAUGAAAGCGGGGGACCGAGCAGCAAUGUUUGGCCUCGCGCCUUUGGAGCGGCCGAUGUCGGAUUAGCUAGUUGGUGGGGUAAAGGCCUACCAAGGCGACGAUCCGUAGCUGGUCUGCGAGGACGACCAGCCACACUGGGACUACGACACGGCCCAGACUCCUACGGGAGGCAGCAGUGGGGAAUUAUGGACGAUGGGCGCAAGCCUGAUCCAGCAAAGCCGCGUGCGGGAAGAAGGCCUUCGGGUUGUAAACCGCUUUUGGCAGGAACGAAACGGUGUCCGCUAAUACCGGGCGCUAAUGACGGUACCUGCAGAAUAAGCACCGGCUAACUACGUG
rnacentral:rRNA from 1 species